UUUCUGUUUUAAUUUCUAAUAUAGUAAAUAUUAAGAAAUAGAACCCAUAUAAACAAAAGCUCUUGGGAGUCCUUAAUAAUUUUUAAGAACAUGAAGAGAUUUUGAGACCAUAUGUUUGAGAACACCAUUUGAGCACAGUGAUUCUUAACCAUGGGUGCCCCUUAGGAUCAGUUGGGGACCUUUCAACAGUUCUUAUGCUUGGGUCCUGCCCUCAGAAAUUCUGAUGAACAGGUCCGGGUUGUACCUGGAUAAAAGGAGUUUAACCCCCAUCCUGGUAAAUCUAAUGUGCAGCUAAGGUUGGGAGCCAUCACCAGGGCCUGUGUGCCCCACAGACUCAGCAGAACACAAUUCCCAGCGCUCAAUCCCAGAGUGUAAGGAUGGACUGUAGCCCUUUUUGGUGUCCCUUGGAAACUCAUGUUUCCUUUUGCUUCUGGAAAGUUGUUUUUAAAGUUGUUAAUCUCUGUUCUUCCUUACUGGGGGUGCUGUUUUCAUGUACCGUUUUCAUUUGCUCAUGCAUGUAUGUACUUGACAUGCUUUGAAUGGGUUCUUUCUUUGGGCUUUAGGUGAUAACAGAUAAGGUGGUUAAAUGACUUGUUAUGCUGAGAAGUCUUAACAGGAGGGGUUUUUAUUUGAACAAAGGUUAGAGGUCUUUGCCCUGGAAGAAUGGUAAGUUCAGGGAGUAGGAAUGAGUGAUCAAAUUCUGUGCAGUGGCUGAUAAUAGCCUUAUUUAAAGUUGUUAUUUAUCUAUACUGUUUUGCCCAGACUCUUAAUGACUAUCUGAGUUACUGUUCUAAUGACUGUAUUUCUUUUUUCCUGAAAUGUCCUCUGUGAACAGCCUAGUUCUCUCCCACCUUCAAAACUCCCAGAGCAACGUUGGUGAGGAAAAUAUUCCCCGUGGCUCAGUCCUUUGUGAUACCUAUACUGGCCACCAUGUGUCACUCUUGCUCUUUUUGCUACUGAAAAAAUGUAUUUGCUGACUAAGGGACACUUACCCUUGUCCCAGGCCUAAUUCAGAGAUACUAGUUCCAAUCGUGGGUGGUUGCAUCUUAACCAGCUUUCUUGUUUGAUAUCACUUUACCAAGUCAAGGUUGGUAGUCUGGGUACUGCGGUCUCCCCUUAUCCUCAGUUUCUCUUUCUGUGGUUUCGGUUACCUGCAGUCAGCUGUGGUCUACAAACAUGAUCCUGCUGACUUCCUGUCAGAAGGUCAAUGGCAGCCUGAUGCUCAAUGCCAGUGCCUACAUCAUUCCCCUCGCUUCUGCUCAUCCGCAGACAUUUUAUCAUCUCAGGAAGGGGCAUUGUCUGGAUAUUUCCCUCACUGGGUGUAUCAACAGUACCUUGCAUUCAAUGUCUUUGUAGAGAUGAUAGGGAAUCUUAAAACUUGUGAUUUGCACCCUGAAAUUAUCGGAGAGGCAAACUUUUGCCUCUACUGCUGAUCUUUGCUUCCUCCCAGAGCCAAGAAGAAUGAAGCCCCAUCCAAGACUUGACUCUACUUGAGAGAAGAUGAGAGGGCUGACAAUGCUCCAGGGCUCUGUAGGCAGAAACAUCCCAUUGCUUCUCACUGGGAGGAGCUACCUCAAAGAGGUCCUUGAAAGAGCCUUCUGAUUCUUCUGACCCUGCUGGGACGUGGGGACAGGCUGUCUUAAUGGGCAACACUGUUCCCCUUCUCUGUGGCUUAGAGUGAACUGCUCUCUGUGAGAUGCAGAGAAUUGAGACAGUACCCCAGUACCUCUAAAGGAAGGUAAGAGGUUUCCAUUUUCCAUGCCUGGUUUACAAGUGUGGAGCAUGCCACGCCUGCAUGUUUGCUGCGGUGGGGACACCCCGACAGCUGGGCCUGCACAAGACAGGGCCGUGAGUAGGUGAAGAAAACUUACAACCUGUCCAAGAGGGGGACUUUGUAACCUGGAAGAGCAGGGCCUGACUGAUCCGAACAGAUGGCUUCAAAUGAACUAGAACUAAUGGAAGGGAAUUUAAAUAUAAACUGGUGGGAACUCUCAAGGAGGUACAACUGGAGCAUUAACAGUGUUUAGGGAACAAGGUACCAACCUUUCUGCAUUUGAAAUUGAAAAGAGGAUGAUUUCUCCUGAGCACAGAAUUAGUACUUUGAAAGAAUUAUCUCACAAUAGAGAGCUAAACUACCGAGAUAGAUGUCUUGCAGGAAAUUGUAAGAGGUUUGGAAGGCAGCUCCAGGAGAAUUGUACUGGGUAUGCUGAAUUCUAAGGAUCAAGAAAAUUCUCAAUAGAUUCCAGCAGGGAAAAAGGUACUACUGAUUUAUAUAUUAUAUGUUUUUUACCUUUUAAAAUUGAUGUAUAGUUGAUAAACAAUAUUAUAUUGGUUUUGGGUGUAUAACAUAAUGAUUUGACAAUUAUAUGCAUUCUAUUAUAACAUACAUAAUUUAUAUAUGACAAUAUAUCCAAGUAGUUUAUCACUAGAUGCUAGAUAGAAACUAGAAGACAAUGGGGAUACAUUGUGUGGAUCAUUGAGAGUGAAGAACCAAUGACCCAAAAACUUAAUUUCCAGUCAAUGUAUCAUUUAUCAUUCAUCUGUGAGGAUACUAUAAGAAGAAUUGUAAAGAUGGGUCCCCAACAUUCUUCCCCCAUUAGCAAACUCUAAACUACAUAUUGAUGUGAAGGGAUUUUGCAGAUGUAAUUAAAGACUCAAGUUAGUUGACUUAAGAUAUGGAGAUUACCCGCUUGGGUCUGGCUCAAACAGCGAGUCUUCAGAAGCUGAGAUUUCUCUGACUGGUAACAGAAGAUGAAGUUGGAGAUUGGUGAAGAUGAACGGGGCCACAUGCUGAGGAAUGUGCACAGCCUUUGGGAGCUGAGAACUGCCCCUCACUGACAGCCAGCAAAAAAAUAAGGAGCUCUAUUCUACAACGACCGACCAGGAACUAAAUUCUGCUGUCCCUGUCAAUGAGUCAAGAAGUAGCUUUUUACCCAGAAUUUCCAGACUCUCUAUUUGCCAGUAGCCACACCCUUCAUUCUCUAAAGAGGCACGGUUUCCCACACUACUACAUGGCAAAAUUGAUCAACCUUAUAUCUCCCUCUGCUUUCUGACUUAAUGGAAGGUACCUUGAGUCUAUUGGCAUUGGUGCAAGAACUGCAUCUUAUACUCUACCCUGAGUUAUUUUUUUCUAGUUGAAAAGUUACCUUGUCAGGACUUGCACUUCUGGCCAUAAUGGAGAAACAUGGGACAGAUUUAACCUCCUGCUGGAAACAAGAGAAAACAGGGGAAAAUGUAUGAAACAACUAUUUUCAGACAUUGGAUAAAAGGCAGCACAGGAUUAUGAUGACUGAGAAAAAGGACACAUUUGGAUUGGCAAACAGAAUGGCAGUCGCCUCAAUGAGUUGCAAAGGCAGAGGAGUUCACGGUGUCUGAAGUGGCUGGAGCUGUGGAAAAGAGUUCCAGAGAGGGAAAAACGUCACAGAAAAGAGCUUCAGAAAUCUGACCAUGAGUACCCUGGAUUCUUUAGCAAAAUGACAAUCUGCUCAGACACAGGAUGCAAUUCUGUAAGUUUAUGCAAGAGAGCAACUGGUACCCAUGAGCUGAACAGUCCACAGAAUGCACCCUGGGUCACAGGAAAGGGUUCUCACUUGUCACACAGUAGAGACCAAGAAGGGCCACACCUUUGUAGUGGAGCUAAACUAGACCUAAUAGUGAAGGAUACUCUAGACCUUAACAAAGCUUAAAAACAACACUUGAAAGGAUCGAACUGAACGGCAAGCAACUUCAUGGUCUGUCAGGGCACAGCCCAGACUCCUUAAAGGAAGACAACAAAGGAAAGAUUCUCGACAGUAUAAACUUCACGAUACUCAGGAGAUGAAAAAAUCAUGAGAUACUAAAACUCAGGAAACUGAGACCUAUAAUUAGUAGAAAAACCAGUCAAUAGAAACAGACCUAGUAGCCAGUAAAAAACAAUAGGGAAAAUGUUAUCUUUUAAACAAACUGUGCUGACAUUAUGAGAUAUCUAUAAGGAAAAAAAUGUAUUUUGACCUUUACCUCAUACCAUACACAAAAACUAACUUGAAAUGGAUAAUUCCCCUAACCAUAAAUGCUAAAACUACAAAUUUUCUAGAAGAAUAUCAGGUAAAAGUCUUGAUAACCUUGGGAUAAGCUAAGUUUUUUUUUUAUAAAUACUGAAAGCACAAACCAUAAAAAUCAUUGAUCAUUAGAUUUUGCCAGUCAUUCUUUGAAAGACAUCAUUAAGAAACUGAAAACAGAAACCACAGAUUGAGUGAAAAUAUCCAAUACAAACAUAAAAUACAUGAGCUCUUUAUGUGUUCUAAAUACAUAGAAAACUCUUACAACUCAUAAUAAGAAGACAAAGAGCCCAAUGUAAUAUAAGCCAAAGAUUUGAACAGAUAUUUCAUAAAGGAGCAUAUAUAGAUGGUGAGUAAGCACAUGAAUCAAUGUCAAUAUCAUUAGUCAUCAAAGAAUGCAAAUUAAAUUCACAAUGAGAUAUCACUACUCAUUGACUUGAAUGGCUAGAAUUGAAAGACUGACAACCCCAAAUGUUGGUAAGUAUGUGGAGCAAUUGGAACUGUCAUAUAUUGCAGGUGGGGAAGGUAAAAUGGUACAACCACACUGGAAAACUCUUGAGGAUUUUCUUAUCAAGGUAAAUAAACAUGUACUUAUCAUUAUGACCUAGCAAUUCUAGAUCUAGACAGUUACUCAAGAGAAAUAAAAACAUAUGUCUACACAAAGAAUUGUAUACAAUUGUUCAGAGCAGCUUAUCGUAGACAUAAACUGCAUACAAUCCAAAUUUUCAUGAGUAUAUGAAUGGAUAAACAAACUGUAGAAGUUCAUAUAAUAGUAUACUACUUAGCAAAACCAAGAUGACUUUCUGAUAACAUAACAACAUGGAUCAAUUUUUAAAAUAUCAUGCUGGAUGAAGGAAGCCAGACACAAAGGAGUACAGACUGUGUGGUUUUAUUAUAUGAAAUUCUAAGGAAGACAAAUCGAUAUUGUUGGGGACGGCUGAAACCUGAAGGGAACUGGGAGAGGACAGCUGAAAGAUUGGGGUGAAAGAACGGUCAGGGAUAAGGGAGUUUGCUAAGAAUAAUAACAAGUCCUAGAUGUUGAGUCUGGGUGUGCUGAGAUAGAAUCUAUCCUGAGGACAGAGUCUGCUUGUUUUGUAAAAAAGUAUGUCAACACCCAAGCACAUGUUUCUUGAUCCCUGGUUAACCUGCCCCUUCUGAGUGUGUGUAAAAAGAGGAGAAUAAAGGCUGUAUGUUGCGUUCCGGCUUGACUGGGCGUCCUCUCAGAGUGAGUUGUACAUUUAUUCAGCUCCACGCCUCCCCUUCAGACUGUUCGACUUCGACGGCAGGCACCGUCAAGUGGCGCUGGAACAGGGACCUGAAGUACAGAGGAGAACGUGAGAGCCGCCGCGAGAUAACAGUGCGCACGAAGCAGAGCCUGCCGCUGUUGCAGUUGCAGCUGCAUUCCUCCUGCCCAUUCCUGGACUUGUCACUGGAAUGCAGGAAGAGAUAUCUAAGCUGGCCUGUGCAUAUAGCAAAACAACAAAUUUGACUGCUUCUAUAUUAUCUGAAUUCAACCAAGAACUGGGAGAAGUGCGAACUGCAGUGCUUCAGAAUCGCUCUGCUAUAGACUCUCUGCUGUUAAAAGAACAUGUAGGAUGUGAACAAUUUCCAAGAAUGUGCUGUUUCAAUUUGUCUGCUUUUUCUCAAACUACCCAAAAUCAAUUAGAGGAUAUCCAUCAUAUUGUCAAUAAGUUUUUACAAAUGCCUAAGCUAUCUAACUAGUUUUCUUAAUUUCAUGAGAUAUAACUAGUAAUUUUAAGUCUGCCUUUGUUAUGUAUCUGUAUUCCUAUUCUGUUAAUGUGUGUAUGCAAUUUAACUAGUAGUUUGUUAAAACCUAUAUAUAUAUAUUCAAGUUAUGUCUGUCUUUCGACAUGUUCGAUCUCAGCCAUGUAAUGCAUAUUUCACACAAAACUGGGAUACCAUAUAAUCCACAAGGCCAAGGCAUUGUGAAACGUGCCCAUGGCACCCUUAAAGCUCAAUUGGAAAAAACAAAAAAGGGGGAGUUCUAUCCCCAGUCACCACAGAACCAUUUAAAUCAUAUCUUAUUUGCAGCCAAAACUGCAUCUGAUAUAUUAGAUCAGAUAAAAGACAUGUUCAAAGAGCCCCUGAAUAGUCUCUGGCACAGUCACACCUCUCUGAACCCUAGGCAUUUUACGUCUUCUAUUGCUGUUACUGGGGCCUUGCGUCCUUCGCAGCAUGUGGAAACUCAUCCAACAAGCCUUAAGAGACCUGCAUCAUUUGAAAUUGCAGACGGCCCCCCUCACUUGUAAAUCAUAAGUUCUAAAGUCAAGUAUGGUAGCCAAUGAAGGGUAAGAUAUGGUUGAAUUGUAAAUACCAACCUAAGACAGGGAGUGGUCGACAGAGGACUAUCACCCCAUGACGGGUAAGGAUUUACUUCAACCAUACAACCUAAGACAGGCACAUACCUUGACCCAGUCGGAGUUGGGCUGGUUGUUUUAUUAAAGAAAAAAGGGGGAGAUGUUGGGGACGGCUGAAACCUGAAGGGAACUGAGAGAGGACAGAUGAGAGGUUGGGGUGAAAGAACAGUCAGGGAUAAGGGAGUUUGCUAAGAAUAAUAACAAGUCCUAGAUGUUGAGUCUGGGUGUGCUGAGAUAGAAUCUAUCCUGAGGACAGAGUCUGCUUGUUUUGUAAAAAAGUAUGUCAACACUCAAGCACAUGUUUCCUGAUCCCUGGUUAACCUGCCCCUUCUGAGUGUGUAUAAAAAGAGAAUAAAGGCUAUAUGUUGC